GUGUCAGCAGCCGCGGUAAGACGAACCGUGCGAACGUUGUUCGGAAUCACUGGGCUUAAAGGGCGCGUAGGCGGCCGAGCGGGUCGUGGGUGAAAUCCCCCAGCUCAACUGGGGAACUGCCCACGCUACCACUGCGGCUCGAGGAAGGCAGGGGCAUUUGGAACUGUCGGUGGAGCGGUGAAAUGCGUUGAUAUCGACAGGAACGCCGAUGGCGAAAGCAGAAUGCUGGUCCUUUUCUGACGCUGAGGCGCGAAAGCCAGGGGAGCAAACGGGAUUAGAUACCCCGGUAGUCCUGGCCUUAAACGAUGGGCACUAGGUAGUGGGCUCGACCUGGGCGCACUGCCGCAGCGAAAGUCCUAAGUGCCCCGCCUGGGGAGUAUGGUCGCAAGGCUGAA
rnacentral:rRNA from 1 species